GAAUUUUAUAUGGGCUUUAAUUGGGAGUUUUUUAUAAAAUUAGAGCUUAUAUUUGGUUGGGAGGAUUAUUAAAUUUGAUAAACUUUAAUAAAAAAAAAACAUUAAUUUAUGAUGAUUAAACUUAGUAAAAUGAUUAAGAUUUUAUAAUUUUAUGAAAGAAGUAAUUACCUCAGGGAUAACAGCGUAAUAUUUUUAAAAAGAUCUUAUUGAUAAAAGUGAUUGC
rnacentral:rRNA from 1 species